rnacentral:misc_RNA from 1 species
GAUGAAGAACGCAGCGAAAUGCGAUAAGUAAUGUGAAUUGCAGAAUUCAGUGAAUCAUCGAAUCUUUGAACGCACAUUGCGCCCGCCAGUAUUCUGGCGGGCAUGCCUGUUCGAGCGUCAUUUCAACCAUCAAGCCCCCGGCUUGUGUUGGGGACCUGCGGCUGCCGCAGGCCCUGAAAUGCAGUGGCGGGCUCGCUGUCACUCCGAGCGUAGUAGUUACAUCUCGCUCUGGGCGUGCUGCGGGUUCCGGCCGUUAAAAGCCUUAUUUACCCAAGGUUGACCUCGGAUCAGGUAGGAAGACCCGCUGAACUUAAGCAUAUCAAUAGCGGAGGA